GGGUGUGGCUCAGCGGUAGAGCGCUCGCCUCGCACGUGCGAGACCCUGGGUUCGAUCCUCGGCCACAUACA
rnacentral:tRNA from 1 species